AGUUUUAUAUUCAUAAGAUGAUGAUAGAAUGCAAUUCUAUAGGAGUAGUAAAGACUACUAAGACUU
rnacentral:tRNA from 1 species